AUUGAACGCUGGCGGCAUGCCUUACACAUGCAAGUCGAACGGCAGCGGACCUUCGGGUGCCGGCGAGUGGCGAACGGGUGAGUAAAGUAUCGGAACGUACCUUUCAGUGGGGGAUAACGUAGCGAAAGUUACGCUAAUACCGCAUAUUCUGUGAGCAGGAAAGCAGGGGAUCGCAAGACCUUGCGCUGAUUGAGCGGCCGAUAUCAGAUUAGCUAGUUGGUGAGGUAAAGGCUCACCAAGGCGACGAUCUGUAGCGGGUCUGAGAGGAUGAUCCGCCACACUGGAACUGAGACACGGUCCAGACUCCUACGGGAGGCAGCAGUGGGGAAUUUUGGACAAUGGGGGCAACCCUGAUCCAGCCAUGCCGCGUGAGUGAAGAAGGCCUUCGGGUUGUAAAGCUCUUUCGGCCGGGAAGAAAUCGCGCCAGUUAAUACCUGGUGUGGAUGACGGUACCGGAAUAAGAAGCACCGGCUAACUACGUGCCAGCAGCCGCGGUAAGAC
rnacentral:rRNA from 1 species